UUUCCGUAGGUGAACCUGCGGAAGGAUCAUUACCGAGUGGGGGUCUCUCAGGCCCGACCUCCCACCCUGUGUUUUUGUGACCUUGUUGCUUUGGCGGGCCCGCCUCGAUGAGAGGCCGCCGGAAGCUCACCGCUUUGGGCCCGUUCCGGAAAGUACCCCCUUUAAAUCUUUAAAAACCCUGCGUUCGAGGUCAAGGAUAUAAUUAAAAAAAACUUUCAAAAACGGAACCCUUUGUUCUGGCAUCGAUGAAAAAAGCAGCAAAAUAGGAAGGCAAACGUU
rnacentral:misc_RNA from 1 species